ensembl:snoRNA SNORD88B small nucleolar RNA, C/D box 88B
AGGCCUCCAUGAUGUCAGCACUGGGCUCCGACCUCCCAUGAGGACACGGUGCACCCCGGGACCUUUGACACCCAGGGGUCUGAGGGGCCU